rnacentral:rRNA from 1 species
CACGCAGGCGGAUUGAUAAGUCAGGGGUGAAAUCCCGGGGCUCAACCUCGGAAUUGCCUUUGAUACUGUCUAUCUCGAGUUCGGGAGAGGUUGGCGGAAUUCCUAGUGUAGAGGUGAAAUUCGUAGAUAUUAGGAAGAACACCAGUGGCGAAGGCGGCCAACUGGCCCGAUACUGACGCUCAUGUGCGAAAGCGUGGGGAGCAAACAGGAUUAGAUACCCUGGUAGUCCACGCCGUAAACUAUGGAUGCUAGCCGUUGGGGAGCUUGCUCUUCAGUGGCGCAGCUAACGUCUUAAGCAUCCCGCCUGGGGAGUACGGUCGCAAGAUUAAA